UGUCAAGGGAUGGGAAUCGAACCCACGACCUUCCGCUUACUGGGCAGAUGCCAUGACCACUUGGCUACCCUGGAC
rnacentral:tRNA from 1 species